CUGCUAUUGACAUUUUUGAAUCGGGACAAAUGUGGAGUGAAGAAAAACGUUUGCAACACAUCCAUUCCAGAGUGCUCUGACAGAUAAAACUGACACGCUUGAUGAGGACACAGUCAAAGCUUUAAAAGCCCGUGUGAUAAAGCAGUCUUCAAUUACUACGGUGUCUGAAUUGCAAGAAGAAAUGACCCUCCACUUAAACAUGUGACAUCUAAACUGUUUUGUGUUUUAGUUCAGCUUUUUAUAGGUUUAUCUUAAGUUGGUUAAAGGCAGAGUGCACUAUUUUUGAAAGCCAAUGUUAACAUUUGAAAUUACCUAAACAAACAUGCCUCUACCCCAAUAGAAUCUGGACCUUCUUUUGAUAGAGCCACCACACACAUACGCA